UAUCACAAAAUCACUUGUAACAAAAUGUAAAUAAAAUGUUACACAUCAUGUUGAGAUGUUACAAAACGUAAUAUUUUAUGUGUUUCUUUUACUCGCCAUGUUUUUGAGAAAUUGUUUUGCACAUGUUGAUGGAGCCAAACUACAAGAAGAAUGUAAGAUUGCUGACAUCUGUCGUCACGACCAAGUUCCUGUCUGCGGGAUAGAUGGUUGUGGAGAAAUGAGAACAUUUAUUGACACCUGUGAUUUGCAUGAGUUUAAUUGUGACAGUAAAAAAGAUUUCGUACAAAAACCAGUACACGAAUGCUGGGUAACUUGCAAAAGGGGGAGGAGUUUUAAGAAGCAAGCCUACGGCAUUGGUUGUGAUUUGUCUAACCUAGUUUAGGAAGAAGACAUAUUAUUAUUGUUAAGAUUAAAAGCCGGCAAAAUUACUAAUACUCUGGUACAAUAACAUACAAUAGAGCCGAAACCAAAGCCGAAAUAUAGAACACGCCACAAAUAACAUCAUACGAAGCUUCGACUGAUAUACCUAUACAUUGCCGCAUUGACUGCAAUUGUUUAAAAUAUUCUUGGUGAAUAAGCAGCAAUGUAAAACAUUUAUUCAGUUGAGGUUACGUAUGUCGAAUUUAGAACCCAAUUCGGACUAUGACAGACGACUAACGGCCGUUUUCAAUAACCUGUCUAUCCUUAGUUUAACUCACUAGAAGUAGACAAAUCUAUUCUUUUACGCUUACUUACAUUUCAGUAGCCUAUCGACAGAUAGUAUUGGACUAUAACUAUACCUUGUCAUAAAACAAUGAUACGUUUUUGAAAAUAGCACUACGUCCAAUCCGAAUCCGAUCCGUAUCUGUGAAAAUAAGGUCCGGUGUAGUCGCAAAAAACGGUAUUAAUCAAUUAAAUUUAUCAUAGUCAAAGAGGUUUAUCUAAUGAAAAUGAAAAUGAAAAAUGAAAAAAUAUUUAUUUCUGUAGCAGAAAUGGUACAAACAUAAUUGUGGAUGUGACCUUCUAUUAAGUGAGAAACACCUGUGCCAGAAGGCCACGCUCUUCCAUAUCAAUUAAAAUUAACAGUACCAUUAACUAGGGAUCACAAAUUAAGUCUAAAAAUAUUAUAAAAGAAGAAUAUUUACAAAAGAAAAAUAUUAUACAAACAGGAUGUCUGAGUGUGUGUGUGUGUGUGUGUGUGAGUAUGUGUGCGUGUGUGUGGUGUGUUUCAUAGUUACUUUUCGUAAAACACGACUUAUUGUACUAUCAAGAAGGUAGACCUAAAAUUUACUACGUGUAGUUAAAUAGCUCUUCCAUUUCCUCAUAAUUCAUGGAUUUCAACCAAGUAGUUAAACUUCGUCUACAUUCCAUUUUGUUACGCGUAUAGAUCUUGAGUUUUUGAUUAAUAAGGUUAUAAACAUGUUCUGAUUGUUUCAUAAACUGUCGCAUUGCAAACGUGGUCUUUACACUAGUUGGCUUAAUAAUAACAUGUUUUGUUCUUUUCAAAAGGUAAGAAGGAUCAGGGAUUAAAGUUUUGUGUCUCUUAAGAGUAACAUGAAGGACAUAAAGUUUUCUAACGGAUAGUACGUCGCAGUCUUUAUACAAUUGUUCAGUACAAUAGAGUCUUGGCUUUAGAAAUGUCACUUUUAAAGGGGCUCUCUGUGAUCUUCAUUUAAUAAUUUAUUAGUAUUUAAAUAUAUAACUUACACAUUUUCUAGAAUAAAUCUUUAAAAUAAAGUGGUUCGCAUAAUUUUGUUUUAAUAUUAUUUACCUAUUUACUAUAUUUAAAACACUUUAUCCGUACAUUGAUAUAAUAUAACAAUCCCUACACUAGGCAUAGCUUGUCCUGUAGGCAAUCGAUUUACA